rnacentral:rRNA from 1 species
CCUACGGGAGGCAGCAGUGGGGAAUAUUGGGCAAUGGGCGCAAGCCUGACCCAGCAACGCCGCGUGAAGGAAGAAGGCUUUCGGGUUGUAAACUUCUUUUGUCAGGGACGAAGCAAGUGACGGUACCUGACGAAUAAGCCACGGCUAACUACGUGCCAGCAGCCGCGGUAAUACGUAGGUGGCAAGCGUUAUCCGGAUUUAUUGGGUGUAAAGGGCGUGUAGGCGGGAAUGCAAGUCAGAUGUGAAAACUAUGGGCUCAACCCAUAGCCUGCAUUUGAAACUGUAUUUCUUGAGUGCUGGAGAGGUAAGUGGAAUUCCUAGUGUAGCGGUGAAAUGCGUAGAUAUUAGGAGGAACACCAGUGGCGAAGGCGGCUUACUGGACAGUAACUGACGUUGAGGCUCGAAAGCGUGGGGAGUAAACAGGAUUAGAUACCCUGGUAGUC